UUAUUUUGUAAUUAUGUUUAUCAACUCCCCGAGCAGUUUCCCAAGCAGAGAGCCCAGCCUGCUCUCCCAGCAUCUCAUUUUUCACCCUGAGCACGGCCCGUGACAAAUGACGUGGAGCAUCCCCAGUGACACAUUCCAAGGGGGUGAUGCUGCCCUCGUGGAUUCCUUUUGCUGCCCUCUCCCCGGGCUUUUUUUGGGUUUUUCUUUUUCAUUACAUGAAGCUGACAACUGCAGAUUUGUUGCUCACACGGUUAAAGAGAAGAGUUCAUGUCCACCCCAGCUUGUUUCACUUUGCUGCUGUUCCUCCGCCAGCCCAAAUUUCAGCUGCAGUAACACGAUCCCACUUGGCAGGGCCUGAGAGAAUCUUUGGCACAUUGGAAAGAGGCUUAAUGUAAAGUCUACUUUUUUUUUUUAAUUUUUUUUUCCUUAGAGCUUUUUGAAACUCCCCUGGUUGUGCACAGCUCUGGCAGCAGCUGCAGGGCUGCUCCCAGACGCUCCAAAUGUGAGCUCAAGGAUCACCAAUGCGUCCUGUGCAGGGAAUGUCUUGAGUGCCUGUCCCAAAAAAAUCCUCCAAAACCCCCUCAGGAACGACAUGGAUCGGGCUGAACAACUUUCUGCAGGCAGAAGGAAAAGCUGCCUGUCCCUGGACCAGAAGAGGAGCAGUGCCUGGAGGACCACGGUGGGGUUUUUGUGUCUGUUCCCUGUGCUGGCUUUGCUGGCAGUUGUGGAAUAUCCAGCUGGAGUUCAGGAAAUUCAGGAAGAAGCCCCAGGCUCGGCUCUGCCCAGCCCGGCUGCUGGCGGGCGCAGCAGGCGUUACACCAUCACCCCCGGCCGCCUCAAGUGGGACCACUUCAACCUCACCUACAAGAUGUGCUGGGACCAGGGGAGGACAUAAUCAGCAUAGCUAAAAACAUCCCGAGGGGAUAGAGAAUAUGCCCAGCUUGUCCCAGUUGCUCCACUUGAGGCAAUUCCCUGAGUGCAGAUCUUCCAUGGGACGAGGUAAGUUCCUGGGAGCCAUCUGUGCAUUUCCAUGGCCCAAACGGCUUCUGCCAGCCCACACCAGGAGUUUCCCCACUCUUUGCCCCAGGGCCUAAGCAAAAACCUCUUUAGAGUCUCUAUCCUAAGUGAUUAGGAUUUUUUUUUCAAAGGAAAUAACCUCUUUACCUGUAGAUUUUUUUUCCCGUAUUUUGCUUUUUCCAAGGAAAGGACUUGUUUUCCCAUCCAACCUUUCAUAUUGUUUGGAACUCUUUUUUGAAAAGUUCUGCCUGAAUGUAUUCCACAGCAUCCAUUGGAGCACAAGGGUCAGGAACAGGAAUUCCCUGCUGCUGGAAUGCAGAUCUUCCCUCUUCCAGCAACACUGCCCAGCAGACUGGGAUAGAUCAGGAUAAAAUCAGUUUUCCAGGAGAACCUGUGCU
rnacentral:lncRNA from 1 species